rnacentral:rRNA from 1 species
UACGUAGGUGGCAAGCGUUUGUCCGGAUUUACUGGGCGUAAAAGAGCGCGCAGGCGGCUGGGCAAGUCCGAUGUGAAAGCUUCCGGCUCAACUGGGGAGGGUCACGCGAUACUGAUCGACUCGAAGGCAGGAGAGGGUAGUGGAAUUCCCGGUGUAGUGGUGAAAUGCGUAGAUAUCGGGAGGAACACCAGUGGCGAAAGGCGGCUUUCUGGUCUGCUCUUGACGCUGAGGCGCGAAAGCUAGGGUAGCAAACGGG